rnacentral:rRNA from 1 species
AUGGACGCCGACAAGGUGGCGGCCGUCGCAGCCUGGCCGACGCCGCACUCGCUGCGGGCUCUUCGCGGUUUUCUUGGCCUUGCCGGAUACUACCGGAAGUUCAUCCGGGAGUUCGGCCUCAUUGCGUCGCCCCUCACGCGGUUGCUGCACCGCGACGCCUUCUCCUGGGACGAGGAGGCGACAUCGGCAUUCGAGGCCCUCAAGGGGGCCCUCACGACGGGGCCCGUUCUUCAGAUGCCGGAUUUUGACCGCCCCUUCAUGGUGGACUAUGACGCCUCGGGUGCGGGGUUCGGCGCCGUGCUUCAUCAGGGUGAUGGUCCUCUCGCCUUCUUCAGCCGGUCCUUCGCUCCGCGCCAUCUUAAGCUCGUAGCGUACGAGCGGGAGCUCAUUGGCUUGGUGCAGGCCGUGCGCCAUUGGCGGCCCUAUCUGUGGGGCCAGUCUUUCCAGAUUCGCAUGGACCACUACAGUCUCAAGUUCUUGCUGGACCAGAUGCUCUCGACCGUGCCGCAGCACUAG